rnacentral:rRNA from 1 species
GUCGAGCGAACGGACGAGAAGCUUGCUUCUCUGAUGUUAGCGGCGGACGGGUGAGUAACGCGUGGAUAACCUACCUAUAAGACUGGGAUAACUUCGGGAAACCGGAGCUAAUACCGGAUAAUAUUUUGAACCGCAUGGUUCAAAAGUAAAAGACGGUCUUGCUGUCACUUAUAGAUGGAUCCGCGCUGCAUUAGCUAGUUGGUAAGGUAACGGCUUACCAAGGCAACGAUGCAUAGCCGACCUGAGAGGGUGAUCGGCCACACUGGAACUGAGACACGGUCCAGACUCCUACGGGAGGCAGCAGUAGGGAAUCUUCCGCAAUGGGCGAAAGCCUGACGGAGCAACGCCGCGUGAGUGAUGAAGGUCUUCGGAUCGUAAAACUCUGUUAUUAGGGAAGAACAUAUGUGUAAGUAACUGUGCACAUCUUGACGGUACCUAAUCAGAAAGCCACGGCUAACUACGUGCCAGCAGCCGCGGUAAUACGUAGGUGGCAAGCGUUAUCCGGAAUUAUUGGGCGUAAAGCGCGCGUAGGCGGUUUUUUAAGUCUGAUGUGAAAGCCCACGGCUCAACCGUGGAGGGUCAUUGGAAACUGGAAAACUUGAGUGCAGAAGAGGAAAGUGGAAUUCCAUGUGUAGCGGUGAAAUGCGCAGAGAUAUGGAGGAACACCAGUGGCGAAGGCGACUUUCUGGUCUGUAACUGACGCUGAUGUGCGAAAGCGUGGGGAU